rnacentral:rRNA from 1 species
GAUGAACGCUGGCGGCGUGCCUAAUACAUGCAAGUCGAGCGAACGGACGAGAAGCUUGCUUCUCUGAUGUUAGCGGCGGACGGGUGAGUAACACGUGGAUAACCUACCUAUAAGACUGGGAUAACUUCGGGAAACCGGAGCUAAUACCGGAUAAUAUUUUGAACCGCAUGGUUCAAUAGUGAAAGACGGUCUUGCUGUCACUUAUAGAUGGAUCCGCGCUGCAUUAGCUAGUUGGUAAGGUAACGGCUUACCAAGGCAACGAUGCAUAGCCGACCUGAGAGGGUGAGCGGCCACACUGGAACUGAGACACGGUCCAGACUCCUACGGGAGGCAGCAGUAGGGAAUCUUCCGCAAUGGGCGAAAGCCAGACGGAGCAACGCCGCGUGAGUGAUGAAGGUCUUCGGAUCGUAAAACUCUGUUAUUAGGGAAGAAAAUAUGUGUAAGUAACUGUGCACAUCGUGACGAUACCUAAUCAGAAAGCCACGGCUAACUACG